CGCUGGCGGCAGGCCUAACACAUGCAAGUCGAACGGCAGCACAGCAGUAGCAAUACUGUGGGUGGCGAGUGGCGGACGGGUGAGGAAUGCAUCGGAAUCUGCCUAUUUGUGGGGGAUAACGUAGGGAAACUUACGCUAAUACCGCAUACGUCCUACGGGAGAAAGUGGGGGACCUUCGGGCCUCACGCAGAUAGAUGAGCCGAUGCCGGAUUAGCUAGUUGGCGGGGUAAAGGCCCACCAAGGCGACGAUCCGUAGCUGGUCUGAGAGGAUGAUCAGCCACACUGGAACUGAGACACGGUCCAGACUCCUACGGGAGGCAGCAGUGGGGAAUAUUGGACAAUGGGCGCAAGCCUGAUCCAGCCAUGCCGCGUGUGUGAAGAAGGCCUUCGGGUUGUAAAGCACUUUUGUCCGGAAAGAAAAGCGCCUGAUUAAUACUCGGGUGUUAUGACGGUACCGGAAGAAUAAGCACCGGCU
rnacentral:rRNA from 1 species